UACAGAGGUCCCAAGCGUUGUUCGGAUUCACUGGGCGUAAAGGGUGCGUAGGUGGCGAGGUAAGUCGGAUGUGAAAGCUCGGAGCUCAACUCCGAAAUGGCAUUGGAAACUACCUUGCUCGAGGGUUGGAGGGGGGACUGGAAUACUUGGUGUAGCAGUGAAAUGCGUAGAUAUCAAGAGGAACACCAGUGGCGAAGGCGAGUCCCUGGACGAUACCUGACACUGAGGCACGAAAGCCAAGGGAGCAAACAGG
rnacentral:rRNA from 1 species